UCCGGUUUAUCACCGGCAGUCUCCCUAGAGUGCCCGACUCCACUCGCUGGCAACUAGGGACAAGGGUUGCGCUCGUUGCGGGACUUAACCCAACAUCUCACGACACGAGCUGACGACAGCCAUGCAGCACCUGUCUUCCGGUUCCCGAAGGCACCCCCGCCUCUCGGCAGGCUUCCGGAGAUGUCAAGGGCAGGUAAGGUUCUUCGCGUUGCAUCGAAUUAAACCACAUGCUCCACCGCUUGUGCGGGCCCCCGUCAAUUCCUUUGAGUUUCAGUCUUGCGACCGUACUCCCCAGGCGGAGAACUUAACACGUUGGCUUCGACACCGAGCAGCUUCCCGCCCGACGUCUAGUUCUCAUCGUUUACAGCGUGGACUAC
rnacentral:misc_RNA from 1 species